rnacentral:SRP_RNA from 1 species
GCUGGGUGUGGUGGCAUGCACCUGUAAUCCCAGCUACUCGGGAGGCUGAGGCAGGAGAAUUGCUUGAACCCGGGAGGCGGAGGUUGCAGUGAGCCAAGAUCACACCACUGCACUCCAGCCUGGGUGACAGAGCAAGACUCUGCCUCAA